rnacentral:rRNA from 1 species
AACGAACGCUGGCGGCAGGCUUAACACAUGCAAGUCGAGGGGUAGGGUAGCAAUACCUGAGACCGGCGCACGGGUGCGUAACGCGUAUGCAAUCUACCUUUCACAGAGGGAUAGCCCAGAGAAAUUUGGAUUAAUACCUUAUAGUAUUAUGAAGUGGCAUCAUUUUAUAAUUAAAGUUCCAACGGUGAAAGAUGAGCAUGCGUCCCAUUAGCUAGAUGGUAAGGUAACGGCUUACCAUGGCGACGAUGGGUAGGGGUCCUGAGAGGGAGAUCCCCCACACUGGUACUGAGAAACGGACCAGACUCCUACGGGAGGCAGCAGUGAGGAAUAUUGGUCAAUGGACGCAAGUCUGAACCAGCCAUGCCGCGUGCAGGAUGACGGUCCUAUGGAUUGUAAACUGCUUUUGUACGAGAAGAAACACUCCUUCGUGAAGGAGCUUGACGGUACUGUAAGAAUAAGGAUCGGCUAACUCCGUGCCAGCAGCCGCCGUAACAC